AUCCUUUUGUGGUUCAUAAGGAUGAUGAUUGGGUGUUCAUGCGCAUGCGUGACAUGCUGCCCUCAAACCUUGUUAUGUGCCAGCACAUUACCCGUCUGAUG